AACAGGAUUAGAUACCCUGGUAGUCCACGCCGUAAACGAUGUCGACUUGGAGGUUGUGCCCUUGAGGCGUGGCUUCCGGAGCUAACGCGUUAAGUCGACCGCCUGGGGAGUACGGCCGCAAGGUUAAAACUCAAAUGAAUUGACGGGGGCCCGCACAAGCGGUGGAGCAUGUGGUUUAAUUCGGUGCAACGCGAAGAACCUUACCUACUCUUGACAUCCAGAGAACUUAGCAGAGAUGCUUCGGUGCCUUCGGGAACUCUGAGACAGGUGCUGCAUGGCUGUCGUCAGCUCGUGUUGUGAAAUGUUGGGUUAAGUCCCGCAACGAGCGCAACCCUUAUCCUUUGUUGCCAGCGGUUAGGCCGGGAACUCAAAGGAGACUGCCAGUGAUAAACUGGAGGAAGGUGGGGAUGACGUCAAGUCAUCAUGGCCCUUACGAGUAGGGCUACACACGUGCUACAAUGGCAUAUACAAAGAGAAGCGACCUCGCGAGAGCAAGCGGACCUCAUAAAGUAUGUCGUAGUCCGGAUUGGAGUCUGCGACUCGACUCCAUGAAGUCGGAAUCGCUAGUAAUCGUGGAUCAGAAUGCCACGGUGAAUACGUUCCCGGGCCUUGUACACACCGCCCGUCACACCAUGGGAGUGGGUUGCAAAAGAAGUAGGUAGCUUAACCUUCGGGAGGGCGCUUACCACUUUGUGAUUCAUGACUGGGGUGAAGUCGUAACAAGGUAACC
rnacentral:rRNA from 1 species